rnacentral:sRNA from 1 species
AAGCAAGUCAGACUGGUUCCUACUAUGUCAGGCGUGUACCCGUCACCCCAUUUAUCUCCUCCACAUCUCCCUGACCAGCACUGUAGCUCCCAUCGAGGAAAUUGAGUCUCAGCCAUGAGGGGUAGGGCCAGGGAUAUGUGCUGGUGGACGGACAGCCAUGUGACCGCGAGGCUGCGGCGGCCUGCCAGGUGGGCGACCCUGUGCGCCUGGAGGUGCGGCUGACCAACCGGAGCCCGCGCAGCGUAGGGCCCUUCGCCCUCACCGUGGUCCCCUUCCAGGACCACCAGAAUGGCGUGCACAACUACGACCUGCACGACACCAUCUCCUUCGUGGGCUCCAGCACCUUCUACCUCGACGCAGUGCAGCCGUCCGGCCAGUCGGCCUGCCUCGGGGCCCUCCUCUUCCUCUACACGGGAGACUUCUUCCUCCACAUCCGGUUCCACGAGGACAGCACCAGCAAGGAGCUGCCACCCUCUUGGUUCUGCCUGCCCAGCGUGCACGUGCGCGCCCUGGAGGCGCAGGCCUGAGCCCGCCCACUUCCGUC